rnacentral:rRNA from 1 species
UUGAACGCUGGCGGCAUGCCUUACACAUGCAAGUCGAACGGCAGCACGGGUGCUUGCACCUGGUGGCGGGUGGCGAACGGGUGAGUAAUACAUCGGAACAUGUCCUGUAGUGGGGGAUAGCCCGGCGAAAGCCGGAUUAAUACCGCAUACGAUCUACGGAUGAAAGCGGGGGACCUUCGGGCCUCGCGCUAUAGGGUUGGCCGAUGGCUGAUUAGCUAGUUGGUGGGGUAAAGGCCUACCAAGGCGACGAUCAGUAGCUGGUCUGAGAGGACGACCAGCCACACUGGGACUGAGACACGGCCCAGACUCCUACGGGAGGCAGCAGUGGGGAAUUUUGGACAAUGGGCGAAAGCCUGAUCCAGCAAUGCCGCGUGUGUGAAGAAGGCCUUCGGGUUGUAAAGCACUUUUGUCCGGAAAGAAAUCCUUGGCUCUAAUACAGUCGGGGGAUGACGGUACCGGAAGAAUAAGCACCGGCUAACUACGUGCCAGCAGCCGCGGUAAUACGUAGGGUGCGAGCGUUAAUCGGAAUUACUGGGCGUAAAGCGUGCGCAGGCGGUUUGCUAAGACCGAUGUGAAAUCCCCGGGCUCAACCUGGGAACUGCAUUGGUGACUGGCAGGCUAGAGUAUGGCAGAGGGGGGUAGAAUUCCACGUGUAGCAGUGAAAUGCGUAGAGAUGUGGAGGAAUACCGAUGGCGAAGGCAGCCCCCUGGGCCAAUACUGACGCUCAUGCACGAAAGCGUGGGGGAGCAAACAGGAUUAGAUACCCUGGUAGUCCACGCCCUAAACGAUGUCAACUAGUUGUUGGGGAUUCAUUUCCUUAGUAACGUAGCUAACGCGUGAAGUUGACCGCCUGGGGAGUACGGUCGCAAGAUUAAAACUCAAAGGAAUUGACGGGGACCCGCACAAGCGGUGGAUGAUGUGGAUUAAUUCGAUGCAACGCGAAAAACCUUACCUACCCUUGACAUGGUCGGAAUCCCGCUGAGAGGUGGGAGUGCUCGAAAGAGAACCGGCGCACAGGUGCUGCAUGGCUGUCGUCAGCUCGUGUCGUGAGAUGUUGGGUUAAGUCCCGCAACGAGCGCAACCCUUGUCCUUAGUUGCUACGCAAGAGCACUCUAAGGAGACUGCCGGUGACAAACCGGAGGAAGGUGGGGAUGACGUCAAGUCCUCAUGGCCCUUAUGGGUAGGGCUUCACACGUCAUACAAUGGUCGGAACAGAGGGUUGCCAACCCGCGAGGGGGAGCUAAUCCCAGAAAACCGAUCGUAGUCCGGAUUGCACUCUGCAACUCGAGUGCAUGAAGCUGGAAUCGCUAGUAAUCGCGGAUCAGCAUGCCGCGGUGAAUACGUUCCCGGGUCUUGUACACACCGC